rnacentral:rRNA from 1 species
UAGGGAAUUUUCGUCAAUGGGCGCAAGCCUGAACGAGCGAUGCCGCGUGAGUGAAGAAGGCCUUCGGUCGUAAAGCUCUGUUGCGGGGGAAAAAAGGACAGCAUCAGGAAAUGGGUGCUGACUGAUGGUGCCCCGCCAGAAAGUCAUGGCUAACUACGUGCC